GAAAGUUGAGGAUCCUUGCUGAGACAUAGCUGUCGGACGAUUUCCAUCUGGCUGGCUGUUUUCGAUUGCCAAAAAUUUUGCAGUCAGAACUUUUAGUCCAGCUAGCAGUUUGUUGUAAAGAGCAUGUUUGUUGUAGAUUAUGUCUCUGUCUAGAUAUACUGAUAUAGAUACAUGGAUUUUGAAAAGACAGUGGCUAUGAUUUUUCUAAUUCUUUUCAGCAUAUGAGGAGAAGAGGACCUUUUAGAUGUGUACUCACAUUCUUUGUGGUGGAGAUAAUGUAAUUUUGGUGGUGGUGAGAUUCAACUCUUCUUUCUUAUUUUGU
rnacentral:misc_RNA from 1 species